ensembl:antisense 4933431E20Rik RIKEN cDNA 4933431E20 gene
GUGAACUUCUCCCAGGGCUGUUGAUGCUUCAUCUACUCUUCUGGCAGUGGGGGCCUGGACCUUAGUUACCCGGGAAGCGUGAGUCAUGUUGCACAGUUGAGCUGGCACAUAAAACUACGAGCUCCUGCUUCCUGACCUGCUUGAGUUCCAGUCCUGACUUCUUUCAGUGAUGAACAGCAAUGUGGAAAUUUUAUAGAACAAGGAAUUGAAGCUUGGAGAAGAUUGAUGGACCACUCAAGUUCCCUGGAUGGUCCAGGAUGCAGACUGAGGAUGGCCUAAAACAUUAGUUUUGCUGGCUCCCUGUGCUUGGCUAACUUUAGAGCCUCUUACCUUGCCACAGUCUUUUCUAUGAAGGACAG